rnacentral:lncRNA from 1 species
CUGUUAUAUAAUCUUGUUGGUGGUUCUAGUUUCAGCAUCACACUUGUAAUUUCAGGUUUUGUAAUUGCUUCUUCCAUUUCUCGUACAAUUGUGCUUGGAAACUUCAUUUCCUUUUGUUUCUUUCACCAGCACUUAUUGGAAACAUAUGUUCCUUUUUCAAUAUAAGAUAAACCCAAUAGUCUAGCAUGCAUGAUGUCAUAAUUUCUCCAGACCAAUUUUUUUAAAUUGAAUUCGAAACAGUUGGUCUGACAAUUGUUCUUGGACAUGCUUAACGCAGAGGAUCUUCAUCUGAAGAUAAAACAAUUUAAGUUCUUUAGAUAUAAAAGAGUAGGAGAAUAAAGCUAAAAAGAGCAUACAUAUAUAAAAAAAAUAAGAAUACUUUGAUUUCUCGAAAGUAUUAAGUACAUCCCUCAAUCGAAAGAUACCAAAGAAUCUCAAAGUAACUAAAGCAAUGCAAAGCCCUGCCCCGCAGAACUUGUUUGACUGCUAAAGUAAGACAGAAAUAUAAAAAAGAAUUGAUUAACCAAUUAAAGAUAAAUAGCAAUCAAACUAUCAUAAUCUACACAUGAAGUAGCCAUGAAUAAUUCCAAAUUUACAGGUACUGAAAUUUUAGUAGAUAAAAUGUAUAAUUGAUUGAAAAUAUACCUUGACGAAAAUUGUCGCGCAGAUUUCUUCAGUUGUCAUUGAGAAUAACUUUUUUCUAAGAUCACUAGAAAU